rnacentral:rRNA from 1 species
UACGGGGGGGCAAGCGUUGUUCGGAAUUACUGGGCGUAAAGGGCUCGUAGGCGGCCAACUAAGUCCGACGUGAAAUCCCCAGGCUUAACCUGGGAACUGCGUCGGAUACUGGAUGGCUUGAAUCCGGGAGAGGGAUGCGGAACUCCGGGAGUAGCGGUGAAAUGCGUAGAGACCCGGAGGAACACCAGUGGCGAAGGCGGCUUCCUGGUCUGCAACUGACGCUGUGGCGCGAAAGCUAGGGGAGCAAACGGG